UCAGUGCUAGCAAAAGUAAAUACGAAAGCAUUGUGAAUCCAGCAACUUGUUGGAGUAUUCGAGUACUCGAGUAUUACAGCUGUCAAUUCACAUGCACUCACGCAAGCACUCAGUCAUAGUCAAGACGCACAGGUCUGCUGCGGCUCAGUUUGCUGAUAUAUUUCCCAGGACAGCCGCUUGGCGGAGCUGAAACUCUCGCCUGGCCGUGACGAGGGCUAACGACAAGGACAAUGUCUGUUGCCAGAUGCAUGGUCCUGCAAGUCCGCAUAUUGUCGCGUAUUGCAACAGCUUUAACAGGGAUUUAUGCAGAUUACAAUGGCAACAAGUUUAGCAAGCUUGUAGCAUGUUGCACAGAUCUAAUGGCUGCAUACGCACAAACAUUCCCCUGGGGUAACAAUUUUUACAUAAACAAAUUGCCAGGGGCUCCACCUAAACAGCAGCUUAAUAGACAAAUUUUAAGUGGGAAACUGUGUACCGAUUUUGAUGGAAUUCCUAAAUAAAAUAUGCAUUGAGUUUUUGUUCUAAGCCGUA